rnacentral:rRNA from 1 species
GGACCUGACUGCUAUCGGAUUGAUACUAAGCCAUGCGAGUCUUUGCAGUAAUGCAAGGCAUACGGCUCAGUAACACGUAGUCAACUUACCCUAUGGACGAGGAUAAUCUCGGGAAACUGAGCAUAAUACUCGAUAGAUCAUAAUGCCUGGAAUGGUUUAUGGUUAAAAUGAUUCGUCGCCAUAGGAUGGGACUGCGGCCUAUCAGCUUGUUGGUGAGGUAAUGGCCCACCAAGGCGAUUACAGGUACGGGCUCUGAGAGGAGAAGCCCGGAGAUGGGUACUGAGACAAGGACCCAGGCCCUAUGGGGCGCAGCAGGCGAGAAAACUUUGCAAUGUGCGAAAGCACGACAAGGUUAAUCCGAGUGAUUUCUGCUAAAGAAAUCUUUUGCAAGUCAUAAAACCACUAGUGAAUAAGGGGUGGGCGAGUUCUGGUGU